rnacentral:rRNA from 1 species
UAAGCCUGCGAAGGUGUACUGUGAGGUAUGCUGGAGGUAUCAGAAGUGCGAAUGCUGACAUAAGUAACGAUAAUGCGGGUGAAAAACCCGCACGCCGGAAGACCAAGGGUUCCUGUCCAACGUUAAUCGGGGCAGGGUGAGUCGACCCCUAAGGCGAGGCUGAAAAGCGUAGUCGAUGGGAAACGGGUUAAUAUUCCCGUACUGGUGGUAACUGCGAUGGGGGAACGGAGAAGGCUAGGUUGUCCGGGCGACGGUCGUCCCGGUUCAAGCAGGUAGGCAGAGUGAUUAGGCAAAUCCGGUCACUUAAUGCUGAGAUGUGAUGACGAACCACCAAGGUGGUGAAGCAAUUGAUGCCCCGCUUCCAGGAAAAGCCUCUAAGCUUCAGGUUACCAACAAUCGUACCCCAAACCGACACAGGUGGUCAGGUAGAGAAUACUCAGGCGCUUGAGAGAACUCGGGUGAAGGAACUAGGCAAAAUGGUGCCGUAACUUCGGGAGAAGGCACG